AGGCGAAGGGGAAGAAGAAGGCACUCGAGGGCGGCAGCGAGUGAGCCAUUUUGUAUCGAACGUAGUUUUGAGAUGAAGGAUUAAAUGCUCUCUUAAGAAGAUUGCGUUCUUAAAAACAAACAAUCGAACAAAAAUAACAAACUUGGGCGGGAUCCAACGCCGAGUGAGAAGGCGACCACCAGUGAGUUAGGUGUGAUUAGUUUUGUUUUUCUCUGGAAGGCGAACAGCACUCGGCGGGCGGCAGCACCAUGAGUUUUUACGGAAGGCCUCCGCCUGACGUCGACGGCAUGACUUCCCUCAAAGUGGACAACCUGACGUACCGCACCACGCCGGAGACCCUGCGGCACGUCUUCGAGAAGUACGGCCGCGUCGGGGACGUGUACAUCCCGCGAGAUCGCUACUCCAAGGACAGCCGCGGCUUCGCCUUCGUCCGCUUCAACGACAAGCGUGACGCGGAGGACGCCAUGGACGCCAUGGACGGCGCGCUUUUGGACGGACGUGAGCUGCGCGUCCAGAUGGCCCGCUACGGCAGACCUCCGGAUUCGCAUUACAGCGGCGGGCGUCGUGGAAGCUGCGGCGGUGGCGGAGGAGGAGGAGGAGGAGGAGGCCCACCCCGAAGAUACGGAGGCUCCAGUCGCCGAAGCAGAAGCCCCCGACCAAGAAGACGCAGCAGGUCCCGCUCUCGGUCCCGCUCUCGCUCCCGAAGCCGAUCCCGUUACAGCCGAUCCCGCUCUAGAUCUUACUCCAGAUCCAAGUCCCGCUCUCCUCGGAACAAGAAGUCCAAUCCAAGGUCCCGCUCCAGGUCCCGCUCCAGGUCCGCCAGCCGCUCCGUCUCCCCUCCAAAAAGAGGCUCUGGGUCCAGAUCUAAAAGCCCGCCCAAGUCAGCCGCUGAGAAUGGAGGAGACUCACCCUAGUUUGCAGUAACCUGGGUGAAAGAUGGAUGAUGAUGUUCCAGGGCAAGAAGCCGCUUGUUGUGGAGAAGGUUGUCUUGCGGCUUCUGCGUCUUUUUAUUUUCUUUUCUUUUUUUUUUUCUCUGUGCUUUUCGUUAUGAAUAUAAACCUUUGCUCUCUAGUGAGCGGGCUGGUGUUGCAAGGGACGUUUUACUGUCCUGGGGUUUCUAAACAAGUGGCUCCACUCCAUGGACUCGGACACUCCCGUUCAAGGAGUCGGUGUGUUUUCAUGUCUAAAGCGAAACAUGGUUGUAGUCGGCUGUUAUCAUCAAAAACUUUUUUUAUUUUCAUAAUGUUGUCUUUGUGCACUAGGCGCAGUUGUGUGGCAGUUGUUGCUAAGGUGUUGCUGUGUGUUGCUGGUGCCCUCAGCGCUGCAGUAUUCUUCCCUCAGCGGUUUUUUACUUGCACCGACUGGAGCUGUGCAGCUGCAACCUUCUGGAAGCUCCGCAGAUCCAUGUUGGUGGUCUUUUAAUAAACUACUACUGUAUAACACGCAA